UUCCGGUUGAUCCCGCCGGACCUGACUGCUAUCGGAUUGAUACUAAGCCAUGCGAGUCUUUGUAGUAAUACAAGGCAUACGGCUCAGUAACGCGUAGUCAACCUACCCUAUGGACAAGAAUAAUCUCGGGAAACUGAGCAUAAUUCUUGAUAGAUCAUAAUGCCUGGAAUGGUUUAUGGUUAAAAUGAUUCGUCGCCAUAGGAUGGGACUGCGGCCUAUCAGCUUGUUGGUGAGGUAAUGGCCCACCAAGGCGAUUACAGGUACGGGCUCUGAGAGGAGAAGCCCGGAGAUGGGUACUGAGACAAGGACCCAGGCCCUAUGGGGCGCAGCAGGCGAGAAAACUUUGCAAUGUGCGAAAGCACGACAAGGUUAGUCCGAGUGAUUUCUGCUAAAGAGAUCUUUUGCUAGUUAUAAAACCACUAGUGAAUAAGGGGUGGGCAAGUUCUGGUGUCAGCCGCCGCGGUAAAACCAGCACCUCAAGUGGUCAGGAGGAUUAUUGGGCCUAAAGCAUCCGUAGCCUGCUUUGUAAGUUUUCGGUUAAAUCCAUGUGCUCAACGCAUGGGCUGCCGAAAAUACUGCAUAGCUAGGGAGUGGGAGAGGUAGACGGUACUCAGUAGGUAGGGGUAAAAUCCUUUGAUCUAUUGAUGACCACCUGUGGCGAAGGCGGUCUACCAGAACACGUUCGACGGUGAGGGAUGAAAGCUGGGGGAGCAAACCGGAUUAGAUACCCGGGUAGUCCCAGCUGUAAACGAUGCAGACUCGAUGAUGCAUUGGCAUAAUAGCCAUUGCAGUGUCGCAGGGAAGCCGUUAAGUCUGCCGCCUGGGAAGUACGUACGCAAGUAUGAAACUUAAAGGAAUUGGCGGGGGAGCACCACAAGGGGUGAAGCCUGCGGUUCAAUUGGAGUCAACGCCGG
rnacentral:rRNA from 1 species